AGUGAACGCUGGUGGUAGGCCUAACACAUGCAAGUCGAACGGCAGCACAAGAGAGCUUGCUCUCUGGGUGGCGAGUGGCGGACGGGUGAGGAAUACAUCGGAAUCUACUUUUUCGUGGGGGAUAACGUAGGGAAACUUACGCUAAUACCGCAUACGACCUACGGGUGAAAGCAGGGGACCUUCGGGCCUUGCGCGAUUGAAUGAGCCGAUGUCGGAUUAGCUAGUUGGCGGGGUAAAGGCCCACCAAGGCGACGAUCCGUAGCUGGUCUGAGAGGAUGAUCAGCCACACUGGAACUGAGACACGGUCCAGACUCCUACGGGAGGCAGCAGUGGGGAAUAUUGGACAAUGGGCGCAAGCCUGAUCCAGCCAUACCGCGUGGGUGAAGAAGGCCUUCGGGUUGUAAAGCCCUUUUGUUGGGAAAGAAAUCCAGCCGGCUAAUACCUGGUUGGGAUGACGGUACCCAAAGAAUAAGCACCGGCUAACUUCGUGCCAGCCGCCGCGGUAAAAC
rnacentral:rRNA from 1 species